ACGUAGGAGGCGAGCGUUAUCCGGAUUUACUGGGCGUAAAGCGCGUGUAGGCGGUUCGGUGAGUUGGAUGUGAAAGCUCCUGGCUUAACUGGGAGAGGUCGUUCAAUACUGCCGGGCUAGAGGAUGGGAGAGGGAGGUGGAAUUCCGGGUGUAGUGGUGAAAUGCGUAGAGAUCCGGAGGAACCCCAGUGGCGAAGGCGACCUGCUCGGCCUUGCCUGACGCUCAGACGCGAAAGCAUGGGGAGCGAACGG
rnacentral:rRNA from 1 species